rnacentral:rRNA from 1 species
GGGAAUUUUGCGCAAUGGGCGAAAGCCUGACGCAGCAACGCCGCGUGAGCGAUGAAGUAUUUCGGUAUGUAAAGCUCUAUCAGCAGGGAAGAAAAUGACGGUACCUGACUAAGAAGCCCCGGCUAACUACGUUCCAGCAGCCGCGGUAAUACGUAGGGGGCAAGCGUUAUCCGGAUUUACUGGGUGUAAAGGGAGCGUAGACGGCUGUGCAAGCCAGAUGUGAAAGCCCGGGGCUCAACCCCGGGACUGCAUUUGGAACUGUGUGGCUGGAGUGUCGGAGAGGCAGGCGGAAUUCCUAGUGUAGCGGUGAAAUGCGUAGAUAUUAGGAGGAACACCAGUGGAGAAGGCGGCCUGCUGGACGAUGACUGACGUUGAGGCUCGAAAGCGUGGGGAGCAAACAGG